UGAACGCUAGCUACAGGCUUAACACAUGCAAGUCGAGGGGCAGCAUUUUAGUUUGCUUGCAAACUGAAGAUGGCGACCGGCGCACGGGUGAGUAACACGUAUCCAACCUACCGAUAACUCCGGAAUAGCCUUUCGAAAGAAAGAUUAAUACCGGAUAGCAUACGAAUAUCGCAUGAUAUUUUUAUUAAAGAAUUUCGGUUAUCGAUGGGGAUGCGUUCCAUUAGUUUGUUGGCGGGGUAACGGCCCACCAAGACUACGAUGGAUAGGGGUUCUGAGAGGAAGGUCCCCCACAUUGGAACUGAGACACGGUCCAAACUCCUACGGGAGGCAGCAGUGAGGAAUAUUGGUCAAUGGGCGAGAGCCUGAACCAGCCAAGUAGCGUGAAGGAUGAAGGCUCUAUGGGUCGUAAACUUCUUUUAUAUGGGAAUAAAGUUUUCCACGUGUGGAAUUUUGUAUGUACCAUAUGAAUAAGGAUCGGCUAACUCCGUGCCAGCAGCCGCGGUAAUACGGAGGAUCCGAGCGUUAUCCGGAUUUAUUGGGUUUAAAGGGAGCGUAGGUGGAUUGUUAAGUCAGUUGUGAAAGUUUGCGGCUCAACCGUAAAAUUGCAGUUGAAACUGGCAGUCUUGAGUACAGUAGAGGUGGGCGGAAUUCGUGGUGUAGCGGUGAAAUGCUUAGAUAUCACGAAGAACUCCGAUUGCGAAGGCAGCUCACUAGACUGUCACUGACACUGAUGCUCGAAAGUGUGGGUAUCAAACAGGAUUAGAUACCCUGGUAGUCCACACAGUAAACGAUGAAUACUCGCUGUUUGCGAUAUACAGUAAGCGGCCAAGCGAAAGCAUUAAGUAUUCCACCUGGGGAGUACGCCGGCAACGGUGAAACUCAAAGGAAUUGACGGGGGCCCGCACAAGCGGAGGAACAUGUGGUUUAAUUCGAUGAUACGCGAGGAACCUUACCCGGGCUUAAAUUGCAACAGAAUAUAUUGGAAACAGUAUAGCCGUAAGGCUGUUGUGAAGGUGCUGCAUGGUUGUCGUCAGCUCGUGCCGUGAGGUGUCGGCUUAAGUGCCAUAACGAGCGCAACCCUUAUCUUUAGUUACUAACAGGUUAUGCUGAGGACUCUAGAGAGACUGCCGUCGUAAGAUGUGAGGAAGGUGGGGAUGACGUCAAAUCAGCACGGCCCUUACGUCCGGGGCUACACACGUGUUACAAUGGGGGGUACAGAAGGCGGCUACCUGGUGACAGGAUGCUAAUCCCAAAAACCUCUCUCAGUUCGGAUCGAAGUCUGCAACCCGACUUCGUGAAGCUGGAUUCGCUAGUAAUCGCGCAUCAGCCAUGGCGCGGUGAAUACGUUCCCGGGCCUUGUACACACCGCCCGUCAAGCCAUGAAAGCCGGGGGUACCUGAAGUACGUAACCGCAAGGAGCGUCCUAGGGUAAAACUGGUAAUUGGGGCUA
rnacentral:rRNA from 1 species